rnacentral:rRNA from 1 species
CCAGACUCCUACGGGAGGCAGCAGUGGGGAAUAUUGGGCAAUGGGCGCAAGCCUGACCCAGCAAUGCCGCGUGAAGGAAGAAGGCCCUCGGGUUGUAAACUUCUUUUAUCAGGGACGAAGGAUGUGACGGUACCUGAUGAAUAAGCUCCGGCUAACUACGUGCCAGCAGCCGCGGUAAUACGUAGGGAGCAAGCGUUGUCCGGAAUUACUGGGCGUAAAGGGCGCGUAGGUGGGCGCUUAAGUCAGGUGUGAAAACUCCGGGAGCAACCUGGAGACUGCACUUGAAACUGGGUGUCUUGAGGGCAGGAGAGGAAAGUGGAAUUCCUAGUGUAGCGGUGAAAUGCGUAGAUAUUAGGAGGAACACCAGUGGCGAAGGCGACUUUCUGGACUGUACCUGACGCUGAGGCGCGAAAGCGUGGGUAGCGAACGGGAUUAGAUACCCCAGUAGAC